rnacentral:misc_RNA from 1 species
GCAAAUGCAAGUGAGCCUCCAAGUUAUGGGCACAAACAGGGUCACUGGUUUCUUUCAAGAAAGGAGAGUUAUUGUGAUCCAGAAGCAACUCCACCCCAACAUGCGAGUAACACCACGGCAAUCCUCCUGCCAACUUCAUUAGCAUAGGCGGCACUUGUUCGUUGAAAAAAAAACCUGGCGACUUAGGCACUACGUCAUGCACAUUCACCACCCUCAAUGCUUUCACGCCCAGUGACUCGAUCCGCUCCUUAAAUCUCGCAUUCCCGACUCGAGGACCCGAAAACGAGAACACACAGACCGGCAGUGCUCGACAGUCUUGCAUCACAUGUAAACCUGUUUCGACAAUGUCGUACGCACUUAAUAUGGCCAGAGCGCUACCUAGACUGUGUCCGGUUAUGGUGAUGCUUACUUCCUCAUUAGCAUACAUUUCUGUUAACCGUUUUACCUCUGUCAGUAUUUGUUCUCUAGCUGAGAACUUGCAGAACCGACAGUUAGCGUCUUUGUCCGUGUAGAGAUCCAGGAAGCCGGAUUCGACCUUCACGGUUGGGUCUGGGCAUGGGAUUUUGUUUCCGUUAAUGGGCUUCAGGAAGUCCAUCAAGUCUGCAAUCCACUCCAGCCGCGUCACCGUACCCCUCCACGCAA